UACAUAGGGGGCAAGCGUUGUCCGGAAUCACUGGGCGUAAAGGGCGCGUAGGCGGUUAAUUAAGUCAGAUGUGAAACCUUAGGACUCAACCUUAAGCAUGCAUCUGAUACUGGUUGACUUGAGUGUGAGAGAGGAAAGUGGAAUUCCUAGUGUAGCGGUGAAAUGCGUAGAUAUUAGGAGGAACACCAGUGGCGAAGGCGACUUUCUGGCUCAUUACUGACGCUGAGGAGCGAAAGCGUGGGGAGCAAACAGG
rnacentral:rRNA from 1 species